rnacentral:rRNA from 1 species
AUGGCGCCAUGGAGGACGAAGGCAUGGAGGCUCGCGAGGAUGCCGCUGUCGUGUCGCGGUGGAUCGCGACACGGAGCUGGCCAGGACGAUGCCCAUCGUCUUCUUCAUCAAGCUGGCGCCAUGGAGGACGAAGGCGUGGAGGCUCGCGAGGAUUCCGCCGUCGUGCCGCGAUGGAUGGCGCCACGGAGUUUGCCAAGACAACGCCAGUGUCAACUUCAUCAAGCCGGCGCCACAAAGGACGAAGGCGUGGAGGCUCGCGAGGAUGCCGCCGACGCGCCACGAUGGAUGGCGCCACGAAGUUCGCCAAGAUGA